rnacentral:misc_RNA from 1 species
GAUGAAGAACGUAGCGAAAUGCGAUACUUGGUGUGAAUUGCAGAAUCCCGUGAACCAUCGAGUCUUUGAACGCGAGUUGCGUCCGAAGCCGUCAGGCCGAGGGCACGCCUGCCUGGGCGUCACACGCCGUUGCCCCCCCGCGCCCCGCACCCAACGCUUUGGGAGCGACCGCGGGGCGGGCUGAUGAUGGCCUCCCGUGCGCUCCGCCGCGCGGUUGGCCCAAAUACCGAGUCCCCGGCGACGUGCGCCACGACGAUCGGUGGUUGAGAGACCUCUGUCGCAAGUCGUGCGCGCCCGUCGCGUCACCCGGGCUCGCAUAGCGCCUCGCGCCGCACCCGGUGCGGAGCUUUCAACGCGACCCCAGGUCAGGCGGGGUUACCCGCUGAAUUUAAGCAUAUCAAUAAGCGGAGGA